GUCCACCUCCCGUUAGCAGGACUGGUAGGGUUUAUCGGCCUAUGGAUAAGCAUCCUUUGUGGUGUAAUCUUAUCACGUGGUUCGUCCCAGACAUAGACAUACCCCUUUGAAGUAGAGAAACCAUAGUUAUCCUCUCUAUUCUCCUACCAUCGCCCAUAUACUAGAUUGCUCUACUCUCUAUUCCCAUAUUAUCGCCCAUUGUUAUCUUACCUUUAAUAUUGUUCUUAUUCAAUUCUACCAUCUUUCCUAUUUACACCUACCUAUCAAUCUAGGUUAAGUUAGAGCGUAGAUCAGUUCUCCCGUUUCCCUGUGGAUACGAUAAAACCUUUAACCGGGUAAAAGCUACAACAGUAUCCGUGCGCUUGCGGAUUUAUGUCUGUGCGCAUAAAUACCAUAGUACACUCUAGUGCCUUGCUAGGGAUGACAACCUAGUAUUCAAGUGGUGUUAGCAAGUGUCAACAAGUUUUUUGGCGCUAUUGCCGGG
rnacentral:lncRNA from 1 species